UAACACGUAUCCAACCUGCCGUCUACUCUUGGACAGCCUUCUGAAAGGAAGAUUAAUACAAGAUGGCAUCAUGAGUCCGCAUGUUCACAUGAUUAAAGGUAUUCCGGUAGACGAUGGGGAUGCGUUCCAUUAGAUAGUAGGCGGGGUAACGGCCCACCUAGUCUUCGAUGGAUAGGGGUUCUGAGAGGAAGGUCCCCCACAUUGGAACUGAGACACGGUCCAAACUCCUACGGGAGGCAGCAGUGAGGAAUAUUGGUCAAUGGGCGAGAGCCUGAACCAGCCAAGUAGCGUGAAGGAUGACUGCCCUAUGGGUUGUAAACUUCUUUUAUAAAGGAAUAAAGUCGGGUAUGGAUACCCGUUUGCAUGUACUUUAUGAAUAAGGAUCGGCUAACUCCGUGCCAGCAGCCGCGGUAAUACGGAGGAUCCGAGCGUUAUCCGGAUUUAUUGGGUUUAAAGGGAGCGUAGAUGGAUGUUUAAGUCAGUUGUGAAAGUUUGCGGCUCAACCGUAAAAUUGCAGUUGAUACUGGAUAUCUUGAGUGCAGUUGAGGCAGGCGGAAUUCGUGGUGUAGCGGUGAAAUGCUUAGAUAUCACGAAGAACU
rnacentral:rRNA from 1 species